rnacentral:rRNA from 1 species
CCUACGGGAGGCUGCAGUGGGGGAUAUUGCACAAUGGGGGAAACCCUGAUGCAGCGACGCCGCGUGGGCGAAGAAGUAUUUCGGUAUGUAAAGCCCUAUCAGCAGGGAAGAAGAAAUGACGGUACCUGAGUAAGAAGCACCGGCUAAAUACGUGCCAGCAGCCGCUGUAAUACGUAUGGUGCAAGCGUUAUCCGGAUUUACUGGGUGGAAAGGGAGCGCAGGCGGCACGGCAAGCCUGAUGUGAAAGCCCGCGGCCCAACCGCGGGACUGCAUUGGGAACUACCGGGCUGGAGUGCCGGAGAGGUAGGCGGAAUUCCUAGUGUAGCGGUGAAAUGCGUAGAUAUUAGGAGGAACACCAGUGGCGAAGGCGGGCUACUGGACGGUGACUGACGCUGAGGCUCGAAAGCGUGGGGAGCAAACAGGAUUAGAUACCCUGGUAGUC